rnacentral:rRNA from 1 species
GUCCUAGCCCUAAACGGUGCUUGCUUGCUGUAAGAGGAAUCGACCCCUCUUGUGGCGGAGCUAACGCGUUAAGCAAGCCGCCUGGGAAGUACGGUCGCAAGAUUAAAACUCAAAGAAAUUGACGGGGGGCCUGCACAAGCGGUGGAGUAUGUGGCUUAAUUCGAUGCAACGCGAAGAACCUUACCUGGCCUUGACAUGCAUCUAGUAUAAGGGUGAAAGCCUAACGAGGUAGCAAUACCAGGAUGCACAGGUGCUGCAUGGCUGUCGU